rnacentral:rRNA from 1 species
AUUGAACGCUGGCGGCAGGCCUAACACAUGCAAGUCGAGCGGAUGAAGGGAGCUUGCUCCUGGAUUCAGCGGCGGACGGGUGAGUAAUGCCUAGGAAUCUGCCUGGUAGUGGGGGAUAACGUCCGGAAACGGGCGCUAAUACCGCAUACGUCCUGAGGGAGAAAGUGGGGGAUCUUCGGACCUCACGCUAUCAGAUGAGCCUAGGUCGGAUUAGCUAGUUGGUGGGGUAAAGGCCUACCAAGGCGACGAUCCGUAACUGGUCUGAGAGGAUGAUCAGUCACACUGGAACUGAGACACGGGCCAGACUCCUACGGGAGGCAGCAGUGGGGAAUAUUGGACAAUGGGCGAAAGCAUGAUCCAGCCAUGCCGCGUGGGUGAAGAAGGUCUUCGGAUUGGAAAGCACUUUAAGUUGGGAGGAAGGGCAGUAAGUUAAUAACUUGCUGUUUUGACGGUACCAACAGAAUAAGCACCGGCUAACUUCGUG